AUUGAACGCUGGCGGCAUGCCUAACACAUGCAAGUCGAACGGCAGCGCGGGAGCUUGCUCCCUGGCGGCGAGUGGCGGACGGGUGAGUAACGCGUGGGAAUCUGCCUAGUAUGGGGGACAACCCGAGGAAACUCGGGCUAAUACCGCAUACGCCCUACGGGGGAAAGCGGGGGGAUCUUCGGACCUCGCGCUAUUAGAUGAGCCCGCGUCGGAUUAGCUUGUUGGUGAGGUAAAGGCUCACCAAGGCGACGAUCCGUAGCUGGUCUGAGAGGACGAUCAGCCACACUGGGACUGAGACACGGCCCAGACUCCUACGGGAGGCAGCAGUGGGGAAUAUUGGACAAUGGGCGCAAGCCUGAUCCAGCAAUGCCGCGUGUGUGAAGAAGGCCCUAGGGUUGUAAAGCACUUUCAGUAGGGAAGAAAAGCAGGGUGUUAAUACCACCACUGUCAUGACGUUACCUACAGAAGAAGCACCGGCUAACUCCGUG
rnacentral:rRNA from 1 species